AUCCAGCUGACGAAUCCCUAAUAGGAUGAAACGCGCGUCCUGUAU
rfam:Schistosoma mansoni strain Puerto Rico chromosome 2, complete genome